AGACGCUACGGACUUAAAAUCCGUCGAAUUUAAAAAUCGUGAGGGUUCAAGUCCCUCUAUCCCCA
rnacentral:tRNA from 8 species